CCUACGGGAGGCAGCAGUGAGGAAUAUUGGUCAAUGGACGAGAGUCUGAACCAGCCAAGUAGCGUGAAGGAUGACUGCCCUAUGGGUUGUAAACUUCUUUUAUAUGGGAAUAAAAUGUUCCACGUGUGGGAUUUUGUAUGUACCAUAUGAAUAAGGAUCGGCUAACUCGGUGCCAGCAGCCGCGGUAAUACGGAGGAUCCGAGCGUUAUCCGGAUUUAUUGGGUUUAAAGGGAGCGUAGGUGGAUUGUUAAGUCAGUUGUGAAAGUUUGCGGCUCAACCGUAAAAUUGCAGUUGAAACUGGCAGUCUUGAGUACAGUAGAGGUGGGCGGAAUUCGUGGUGUAGCGGUGAAAUGCUUAGAUAUCACGAAGAACUCCGAUUGCGAAGGCAGUUCACUGGACUGCAACUGACACUGAGGCUCGAAAGUGUGGGUAUCAAACAGGAUUAGAUACCCCUGUAGUC
rnacentral:rRNA from 1 species